rnacentral:rRNA from 1 species
AUUGAACGCUGGCGGCAGGCCUAACACAUGCAAGUCGAGCGGAGCGGCGGACGGGUGAGUAAUGCCUAGGCAUAUGCCUGGUAGAGGGGGAUAACGACCGGAAACGGGAGCUAAUACCGCAUACUAUCAGAUGAGACUCGGUCGGAUUAGCUAGUUGGUGGGGUAAAGGCCUACCACGGCGACGAUCCGUCAAUGGUAUGCGCGGAUGAUCAGUCACACUGGAAGUGUGAUACGGUCCUGAUUCCUACGGGAGGCAGCGGUGGGGAAUAUUGGACAAUGGGCGAAAUCCUGUUCCAGCCAUCCCGCGUGUGUGUAGAAGUUCUUCGGAUCGUAAAGCACUUUAAGUUGGGAAGCGUUACCAACAGAAUAAGCACCGGCUAACUUCGUGCCAGCAGCCGCGGUAAUUC